rnacentral:rRNA from 1 species
CCUACGGGGGGCUGCAGUGGGGAAUAUUGGACAAUGGGCGAAAGCCUGAUCCAGCCAUGCCGCGUGUGUGAAGAAGGCCUUCGGGUUGUAAAGCACUUUCAGUGGGGAAGAAAGCCUUGGGGCUAAUACCCUCGAGGAAGGACAUCACCCACAGAAGAAGCACCGGCUAACUCCGUGCCAGCAGCCGCGGUAAUACGGAGGGUGCGAGCGUUAAUCGGAAUUACUGGGCGUAAAGCGCGCGUAGGCGGUCUGAUAAGCCGGUUGUGAAAGCCCCGGGCUCAACCUGGGAACGGCAUCCGGAACUGGCAGGCUAGAGUGCAGGAGAGGAAGGUAGAAUUCCCGGUGUAGCGGUGAAAUGCGUAGAGAUCGGGAGGAAUACCAGUGGCGAAGGCGGCCUUCUGGACUGACACUGACGCUGAGGUGCGAAAGCGUGGGUAGCAAACAGGACUAGAUACCCCGGUAGUC